rnacentral:rRNA from 1 species
AUUGAACGCUGGCGGCAGGCCUAACACAUGCAAGUCGAGCGGAUGACAGGAGCUUGCUCCUGAAUUCAGCGGCGGACGGGUGAGUAAUGCCUAGGAAUCUGCCUGGUAGUGGGGGACAACGUUUCGAAAGGAACGCUAAUACCGCAUACGUCCUACGGGAGAAAGCAGGGGACCUUCGGGCCUUGCGCUAUCAGAUGAGCCUAGGUCGGAUUAGCUAGUUGGUGAGGUAAUGGCUCACCAAGGCGACGAUCCGUAACUGGUCUGAGAGGAUGAUCAGUCACACUGGAACUGAGACACGGUCCAGACUCCUACGGGAGGCAGCAGUGGGGAAUAUUGGACAAUGGGCGAAAGCCUGAUCCAGCCAUGCCGCGUGUGUGAAGAAGGUCUUCGGAUUGUAAGCACUUUAAGUUGGGAGGAAGGGCAGUUAACCUAAUACGUUAGUGUUUUGACGUUACCGACAGAAUAAGCACCGGCUAACUCUAGUGCCAGCAGCCGCGGUAA